AUUGAACGCUGGCGGCAGGCCUAACACAUGCAAGUCGAGCGGCAGCGGGAAAGUAGCUUGCUACUUUUGCCGGCGAGCGGCGGACGGGUGAGUAAUGCCUGGGAAAUUGCCCAGUCGAGGGGGAUAACAGUUGGAAACGACUGCUAAUACCGCAUACGCCCUACGGGGGAAAGCAGGGGACCUUCGGGCCUUGCGCGAUUGGAUAUGCCCAGGUGGGAUUAGCUAGUUGGUGAGGUAAUGGCUCACCAAGGCGACGAUCCCUAGCUGGUCUGAGAGGAUGAUCAGCCACACUGGAACGGAGACACGGUCCAGACUCCUACGGGAGGCAGCAGUGGGGAAUCUUGCGCAAUGCACGAAAGUGUGACGCAGCAACGCCGCGUGCGGGAAGAAGGUCUUCGGAUCGUAAACCGCUUUCAGUUGGGACGAGGGUUACACGGUGAAUAGCCGGCGUAACUGACGGUACCUUCAGAAGAAGCCCCGGCUAACUACGUGCCAGCCGCCGCCGUAACAC
rnacentral:rRNA from 1 species